rnacentral:rRNA from 1 species
UACGUAGGGUGCGAGCGUUGUCCGGAAUUAUUGGGCGUAAAGGGCUCGUAGGCGGUCUGUCGCGUCGAAAGUGAAAACCCAGGGCUUAACCCUGGGCCUGCUUCCGAUACGGGCAGACUAGAGGUAUGCAGGGGAGAACGGAAUUCCUGGUGUAGCGGUGAAAUGCGCAGGUAUCAGGAGGAACACCGGUGGCGAAGGCGGUUCUCUGGGCAUUACCUGACGCUGAGGAGCGAAAGUGUGGGGAGCGAACAGG